AAACCAAUAAUCACUACAGGAAAAAUAAUCACAAAAGCAUUUCUAUGUCACUACAUUCCAUCAUGGUAAUUAGCAGCAUCAUACAACAAGCCGAACUUUAUAGCAGCAAUGCUUCUACAAUGUACCUCAACAUCAGCCUUUUGGUGUUUCUUGAUGAUUCGAAUAACAUGCCUAGCUGUUUCUUCAGCUGUUAUCGGUGGUGGCCCCGCUUCUCUCCAGCUCUCAACUAGUUUUCUAUACUUCACAUAUUUCGAAAUUCAGACACAUAAAAGAUCAAAUCUUUUAAAACCAUUUUUUCUCUCUCUCAUUUCUAAACUAAUGACAUAGAUUUUGAUCAUCGCUAUUGCUGCGUAUCGAUUUUAGCUUCUUCUCUACUCUACCGAUCCUCAAAAGAACAACAACCCAAAAACAAAAACAAAUAGAGAGAAAUACAGAAAGAGAGACCUGAAGCCCUUCUUUUUGGACAUCACGAUCUUCUUCAUUAUCAAAGAGUUGAAGACCUUGCUUACCCGGAAUACGAUUCCAAUAUAUUACUUGUUAAGGAUCCGAGUUAUAGCACUCUUGAAGAGUAACGCCAAGGCGCGUAUCAAUUCCAACCAGAGAAAAAAGUAUUGCCAGUCUCAAUUCCGACGGAGGAAGAAGCAGCUCUAAGCGACUCAGGGUAGGAGAAGAAGACAUACUGUGACUAAAGUCACAGACCCAUGUUUAGUUUUUGACUGUGAAUAUUAACUGAUGGCUGAUUGUGAUCCCGGAGUAAAGUUUUGUGGCUGUGGUGCAGACCAAAUUUGAGGUGGAACAAGCUGCUCACUAUCUGAUAUUCAAGUGUCAAGUAAAACGAAUAAUGAAAUGAAAGUGGCUGAAUUGGAAGCUAAACUUAGCAGUAAGAUAAGCAAAAUUGAAGCCCUUAUUUACUGGCAAGUCAUCCAAGCUACUAACAUUUUGGCGACCAAAUUUGAUUAGCUCAGCGUGAUUUCUUCCCAUAUCAGAGAAAAGAAAAAGGGAUUAUGAGAGACUUCGAUUCAAUUGAUAAAAGAAUUUUAUCAUCAAAUACUUGCCAAGGCUUUAGCGCAUUUCUUUCAAUCGAAAUUUCUGAUCAUAACUUGGUCAAAGCUUAGCAUCAGCCUCUGUGCACAACUAUAUAUUGAAGACUUUUGUCAUGGAAAGAUGUCAAAAAAGAAGCAAUUAGGCUUUCAAAUAUAUUUCUGCUCACCUCAUUAGGGAUGCCAGUUUCAAGAAUAAGUCUGAAACAAAUACGGUGACUGAGGUAAUUAAUCAAUAGUAGUUAUUAUUUACUUUUUUGGUUUUCCAUUCAAACGUACCUUCUUUCUCUUAUGUCAGUUAUGUGUAGAUCUCCCUUGCAGCUCUAUUUUCAAGUUGAGCGGGAACUGGUGAUUCAGUCCACCAGAUUGAAAACAUUGAUAAGAGAUUUUAGAUGAAAUUGUAGAGGAACCACUUUUCAAUUAGCAAAGAUGAUAUACUGAGACUGAAAGUAUUACUUUUUUUUUUUUUUGAGAAGACUGAAAGUAUUACUUAUAUAUAAUGACUAGCUAAAAAAUUUGGAUUUUAUAAUAUAUAUUCUGAUGUAUAUGUCUUACCAUUUUGUAGAUAUUCUUCUUUUUCUUCAAGCAAUGAACAACUAAAUAUGAUAAAUGAGUUGGGAUUC